AUACGGAGGGUGCGAGCGUUAAUCGGAAUUACUGGGCGUAAAGCGCGCGUAGGCGGCUUGUUAAGUCAGAUGUGAAAGCCCUGGGCUUAACCUGGGAACUGCAUUUGAUACUGGCAGGCUCGAGUAUGGUAGAGGGAGGUGGAAUUCCGGGUGUAGCGGUGAAAUGCGUAGAGAUCCGGAGGAACACCAGUGGCGAAGGCGACUUCCUGGACCAAUACUGACGCUGGGGUGCGAAAGCGUGGGGAGCAAACAGGAUUAGAUACCCUAGUAGUCC
rnacentral:rRNA from 1 species